UGGUUUUUAAUUAAAGGCAAGCAUGAGAAAGUUCUCUUUCAUGUUAAGAAUGUUGGGAAUAAAUUGUCAGAAUUGUGGGUAAAGAAAAAUGGAUCAUUAUCCAUUGAAAAUAUUUCUUUCAGGGUGAAACAUCUAUAGGAACUUGGAUAGGCCAGGAAUGGACUCUGGGCACAUCUAUCUUUACUGAAUUCCAGCAGAAGCCACUUUCUUGACAGUCAGAGUCUCUUUGUGAUUUUUGUGGUGUACCACUUCCAGGUUAGCCAGUAGCACUGUUUAGGAAAAAUCUCUUACUAGAAGUUGAUUUGACAUCUUGUUUCAAAGUGGCAUUUUUAGAUUAUGAGUAGAAAAUGAGGCCAGAGAUUAAAACCUGGAGAAUUACAAGGCAACAAUUUAACGAAUGAGUAAAAAGCACCUAUCGAGUACUGCCUCUUUGUCCAUCCAUUAAUACAGUUGCUUGGAGUUAGCCAGACUGUGAUGUCAAGAGCACAGUCCUCCAGAAUACUUCCCAAGACUUCUGACCCCAACCACAAGGAAUUAGAAGGAAGAGUCCAACCCAAGACCAAUACUUCUGACAUCAACUGCAAGUCUUGGGGCUUCCUAAACCCACCCUCAAUUUUAACAAUUCACUACAAGACUGUUAGUACUCACUGAAUGCUCUUACACCCAUUGAUAUGAUUUAUUAUGAGGAAAAGACAUAAAUUAGAUCGAGCCAAAGGAACAGUAUCUGAGAGGGUUCCAAGUGCAAAGUUUCCAUUGUCCUCUGGAAGUGUUACCUUUCUGGAAUGAAUGUGUGACAAUACCCAUGGAGUACUGUCAACCUGGGACGCUUACUCCGGAGUUCAAAGUUUUUAUUGGGGCUUCAUUAGGUAGGCAUGAUUGAUUGAUUAAUUGCCCAAGUGGCUGAACUCAAUCUCUAGGAGUCAACUGAUAGCAAAUGACUGAAAGCCCCCAUUGUAAAUCAUGUUUGGUCUUUCUUGUAUGGUUAUUCCUAGGACUAUCAGGAGGAGCAUUUCCCAACAUGAGUCACUUUUUAGCCUAAACUAGCAAGUGUUGCCCAAGGGCCACCAUGAAUAACAAAGACACUCCUAUCACUGUAGAAAUGCCAUGGAUUUAUAGGUUACUUCUGAGGAGCCUGGACAAAAUUUUGCAUGACCAAAUUUCUUCAUACACACCAAUGUAAAAAUCACUGCUUUUCAUGUCAUCUACAAAUUUUACAGGUAUAUUUGCUAAAUUUUUGUCAAAAUAUUGAAAAAUAUUGAGUAGGAAAGGGGUGUAAGAAUCACAGUGAAUUGAAAGUAAUCCAUGACCAAUUGCAUUAAAGUAUACAUUUUGCUUAAGAAACAAGCAAAUAAGGCAACUCAGAAUGGGGAAGAGUAAAAAUUAAAAUCAAAUGAUUGCCUUACUCAUUAUGCUAAAGUAAGGACUAUAGUCCUUAGCGUCAGCCAUAUACAUUAAUAAAUAUGUUCUUUGCACUGA